AAAAAAAUUCAAUUACAUAAAUAUGAUUUAUUUGGUAAUCACUUUCAAUUCAAAGGUAAAUUUUAGGGCAGGUAAAAGGUUAUUCACCAGUGCAACAAGAUAGAACGAAGAGGUGUACUAUCAACACUUUCUCAUUAAUUAGUCGAAAUUUAUGUGGUUUUUAUAUUUUUAGUAGACCUCAGUUGGAGUAUUGAAGAAACUAGAAAGUGUUGAAAAGAGAAUAUUGCUAGUAGAUAAAGAUGUGGAAUGUAAGCAAGUAACUAUACAAAUAUCUUGAGCAAAAAUGAAAAUUUGGCUCCGUCCAUUAUUUUUAAACAUUUCCCUCCACUGAAAAUGAAAAGGCAACUGCUAUAUAUAUACAUGGUAUUGGUAUCGGUAUUGGAACAGAACCGCCUUUUCUCUUUCACUCCACCACAAUUGAAAUCACGACGAGAUAUUUCUAUUUCUCAUUUCAUUUUCUCUGUUUCAAAAAUUUUCAUACUUUCUGAUACUCAAAUCCAAUUUUGCUAAAUGUUUGUUACUCCCAAAUGUCUGUUCAUUUAGAUUGCAGAAAAUUAUUCCUUUUUUUUUUCUUCCUUCGUUCAUGCAUAAGACUGAUCUUAAUGUCAAGUUCAACAGAUGAGAUGUUGAUUCCGCCAAAUGCAAAGAGAGGGAGGCACAGUGAGAGUGAGAAUGAAAUUGAAGAGAACGAAGACAGACUAAGUGACUUACCCGAUUGCAUCCUCCUUCACUUUUUGUCAUUUCUGAACGCCGGACGUGCAGUUCGAACUAGCAUGUUAUCCACAAGAUGGAAGAAUCUCUGGAAACGCAUUCCUACUCUUAAUUUACGCUCCUCAGAUUUUUCCACUGUGAAGAGUUUCACUGUAUUCGUGUCUACAAUUUUGACUCUUCGUGAUUGUUCAAUUGCCUUGCACCGUCUCCAUUUUGAUCGUAAUGGUUUCGUCGAGCCUCAUCUCCUCAAAAGGGUCGUAAACUACGCUAUUUCACACAAUGUCCAACAGUUAGCUUUGUCUGUCACGUGUGUGACAUUGAACGCAUUCCGUCUUGCCUUUUUUCAUGUCAGGCUUUAACAUCUCUUAAGCUCUCAGUUUACCCUAAAUAUCCUAAGUUUGAGAAGACAUUGUUUCCGAAAUCCCUUAAUUUGCCAGCACUGACAAGCUUGCAUCUAUAUAAAUUUGCAUUUCUGGCAAGUGACAAUGACCGUGCUGAACCCUUUUCAGGCUUCAACAGGCUGAAUAGUUUGAUCAUUGAAAACUGUAACAUCAAGGAUGCACAGAUUCUCUGCAUAUCAAGCGCAACGCUUGUCAAUUUAACAAUGAAGUGUCGUCUUUAUGAAGAUUUUUACAACCUCGAGCUAUCUUCUCCCAGUCUUCGUAGUUUGGCCUUAAAGGGCACUCCUAGUCUGCAACUUUGUGGGUGCAAUCUUUCUUCUGUUGAACAAGUAGAUAUUGAUGUUGAAAUGUUGACAAGUUCCCCCAAGUCUCCAUCGAUUCUGCUCAGCUGGCUGCAAGAGCUUGCUGAUAUAAAAUCAUUGAUUGUCUCUGCAAGUACUCUCCAGCUUAAGCUCCCUUUUCUUGGUGGCUUGAAGUCAUCGAAAGUUAUAGUAAGACCAACUUCAAAAGGAUUUGCCAUGACAAUGAGAAAUUCCAUGUUAGGUAAAGUAUCCUGGAGACAAUUUCUUAAGUUAAUGAAAGCAGCAUUGGAAACAUCUCCACCUAUGCCUGAUGGAAUAGUGGACAUUUUGCUUCAAAACUCGCUGUCCGCAAAGGUUGACAUCAUAGAUUGCUCGAGGCAAAAGGAGCAUUCAAGAUUUUAAACAGAGAUUCUUAUAAUUGGUUUGGUGUUAGUUAUCUAAUGUCUGGUGUUAGUUAUCUAAUGUCUUCCUUCUCUGUUUUUGUUCCCCUGAACCUCUCUGGUGUUUCUGAUCAUCAGUGGGCAAGUUACUAGUUCAUUGGUUAGAGAAAUAAGUUGUAUGUGUAUACUGAAUUGAUUUUAUCAAAUCUCAGCUUAAAUUGAUCCUCUA